rnacentral:rRNA from 1 species
GACGAACGCUGGCGGCGUGCUUAACACAUGCAAGUCGAACGGAAAGGCCCUUCGGGGUACUCGAGUGGCGAACGGGUGAGUAACACGUGGGUGAUCUGCCCUGCACUUUGGGAUAAGCCUGGGAAACUGGGUCUAAUACCGAAUAGGACCACGCGCUUCAUGGUGUGUGGUGGAAAGCUUUUGCGGUGUGGGAUGGGCCCGCGGCCUAUCAGCUUGUUGGUGGGGUAAUGGCAUACCAAGGCGACGACGGGUAGCCGGCCUGAGAGGGUGACCGGCCACACUGGGACUGAGAUACGGCCCAGACUCCUACGGGAGGCAGCAGUGGGGAAUAUUGCACAAUGGGCGCAAGCCUGAUGCAGCGACGCCGCGUGAGGGAUGACGGCCUUCGGGUUGUAAACCUCUUUCAAUAGGGACGAAGCGCAAGUGACGGUACCUAUAGAAGAAGCACCGGCCAACUACGUG